UUACCACUCUGGCCUUUUGGCUUAGAUCAAGUGUAGUAUCUGUUCUUAAUAGUUUAACCACUA
rnacentral:snRNA from 1 species